rnacentral:lncRNA from 1 species
AGGCAUUGAGGCAGCCAGCGCAGGGGCUUCUGCUGAGGGGGCAGGCGGAGCUUGAGGAAACCGCAGAUAAGUUUUUUUCUCUUUGAAAGAUAGAGAUUAAUACAACUACUUAAAAAAUAUAGUCAAUAGGUUACUAAGAUAUUGCUUAGCGUUAAGUUUUUAACGUAAUUUUAAUAGCUUAAGAUUUUAAGAGAAAAUAUGAAGACUUAGAAGAGUAGCAUGAGGAAGGAAAAGAUAAAAGGUUUCUAAAACAUGACGGAGGUUGAGAUGAAGCUUCUUCAUGGAGUAAAAAAUGUAUUUAAAAGAAAAUUGAGAGAAAGGACUACAGAGCCCCGAAUUAAUACCAAUAGAAGGGCAAUGCUUUUAGAUUAAAAUGAAGGUGACUUAAACAGCUUAAAGUUUAGUUUAAAAGUUGUAGGUGAUUAAAAUAAUUUGAAGGCGAUCUUUUAAAAAGAGAUUAAACCGAAGGUGAUUAAAAGACCUUGAAAUCCAUGACGCAGGGAGAAUUGCGUCAUUUAAAGCCUAGUUAACGCAUUUACUAAACGCAGACGAAAAUGGAAAGAUUAAUUGGGAGUGGUAGGAUGAAACAAUUUGGAGAAGAUAGAAGUUUGAAGUGGAAAACUGGAAGACAGAAGUACGGGAAGGCGAAGAAAAGAAUAGAGAAGAUAGGGAAAUUAGAAGAUAAAAACAUACUUUUAGAAGAAAAAAGAUAAAUUUAAACCUGAAAAGUAGGAAGCAGAAGAAAAAAGACAAGCUAGGAAACAAAAAGCUAAGGGCAAAAUGUACAAACUUAGAAGAAAAUUGGAAGAUAGAAACAAGAUAGAAAAUGAAAAUAUUGUCAAGAGUUUCAGAUAGAAAAUGAAAAACAAGCUAAGACAAGUAUUGGAGAAGUAUAGAAGAUAGAAAAAUAUAAAGCCAAAAAUUGGAUAAAAUAGCACUGAAAAAAUGAGGAAAUUAUUGGUAACCAAUUUAUUUUAAAAGCCCAUCAAUUUAAUUUCUGGUGGUGCAGAAGUUAGAAGGUAAAGCUUGAGAAGAUGAGGGUGUUUACGUAGACCAGAACCAAUUUAGAAGAAUACUUGAAGCUAGAAGGGGAAGUUGGUUAAAAAUCACAUCAAAAAGCUACUAAAAGGACUGGUGUAAUUUAAAAAAAACUAAGGCAGAAGGCUUUUGGAAGAGUUAGAAGAAUUUGGAAGGCCUUAAAUAUAGUAGCUUAGUUUGAAAAAUGUGAAGGACUUUCGUAACGGAAGUAAUUCAAGAUCAAGAGUAAUUACCAACUUAAUGUUUUUGCAUUGGACUUUGAGUUAAGAUUAUUUUUUAAAUCCUGAGGACUAGCAUUAAUUGACAGCUGACCCAGGUGCUACACAGAAGUGGAUUCAGUGAAUCUAGGAAGACAGCAGCAGACAGGAUUCCAGGAACCAGUGUUUGAUGAAGCUAGGACUGAGGAGCAAGCGAGCAAGCAGCAGUUCGUGGUGAAGAUAGGAAAAGAGUCCAGGAGCCAGUGCGAUUUGGUGAAGGAAGCUAGGAAGAAGGAAGGAGCGCUAACGAUUUGGUGGUGAAGCUAGGAAAAAGGAUUCCAGGAAGGAGCGAGUGCAAUUUGGUGAUGAAGGUAGCAGGCGGCUUGGCUUGGCAACCACACGGAGGAGGCGAGCAGGCGUUGUGCGUAGAGGAUCCUAGACCAGCAUGCCAGUGUGCCAAGGCCACAGGGAAAGCGAGUGGUUGGUAAAAAUCCGUGAGGUCGGCAAUAUGUUGUUUUUCUGGAACUUACUUAUGGUAACCUUUUAUUUAUUUUCUAAUAUAAUGGGGGAGUUUCGUACUGAGGUGUAAAGGGAUUUAUAUGGGGACGUAGGCCGAUUUCCGGGUGUUGUAGGUUUCUCUUUUUCAGGCUUAUACUCAUGAAUCUUGUCUGAAGCUUUUGAGGGCAGACUGCCAAGUCCUGGAGAAAUAGUAGAUGGCAAGUUUGUGGGUUUUUUUUUUUUACACGAAUUUGAGGAAAACCAAAUGAAUUUGAUAGCCAAAUUGAGACAAUUUCAGCAAAUCUGUAAGCAGUUUGUAUGUUUAGUUGGGGUAAUGAAGUAUUUCAGUUUUGUGAAUAGAUGACCUGUUUUUACUUCCUCACCCUGAAUUCGUUUUGUAAAUGUAGAGUUUGGAUGUGUAACUGAGGCGGGGGGGAGUUUUCAGUAUUUUUUUUUGUGGGGGUGGGGGCAAAAUAUGUUUUCAGUUCUUUUUCCCUUAGGUCUGUCUAGAAUCCUAAAGGCAAAUGACUCAAGGUGUAACAGAAAACAAGAAAAUCCAAUAUCAGGAUAAUCAGACCACCACAGGUUUACAGUUUAUAGAAACUAGAGCAGUUCUCACGUUGAGGUCUGUGGAAGAGAUGUCCAUUGGAGAAAUGGCUGGUAGUUACUCUUUUUUCCCCCCACCCCCUUAAUCAGACUUUAAAAGUGCUUAACCCCUUAAACUUGUUAUUUUUUACUUGAAGCAUUUUGGGAUGGUCUUAACAGGGAAGAGAGAGGGUGGGGGAGAAAAUGUUUUUUUCUAAGAUUUUCCACAGAUGCUAUAGUACUAUUGACAAACUGGGUUAGAGAAGGAGUGUACCGCUGUGCUGUUGGCACGAACACCUUCAGGGACUGGAGCUGCUUUUAUCCUUGGAAGAGUAUUCCCAGUUGAAGCUGAAAAGUACAGCACAGUGCAGCUUUGGUUCAUAUUCAGUCAUCUCAGGAGAACUUCAGAAGAGCUUGAGUAGGCCAAAUGUUGAAGUUAAGUUUUCCAAUAAUGUGACUUCUUAAAAGUUUUAUUAAAGGGGAGGGGCAAAUAUUGGCAAUUAGUUGGCAGUGGCCUGUUACGGUUGGGAUUGGUGGGGUGGGUUUAGGUAAUUGUUUAGUUUAUGAUUGCAGAUAAACUCAUGCCAGAGAACUUAAAGUCUUAGAAUGGAAAAAGUAAAGAAAUAUCAACUUCCAAGUUGGCAAGUAACUCCCAAUGAUUUAGUUUUUUUCCCCCCAGUUUGAAUUGGGAAGCUGGGGGAAGU